GGCCCGCAGUGCGAAUGUGAUGCACUACAAUACACACUAAAAAUGUCUAAAUGUGUCUUCGAUUGCUAUCAAAACCGUAAAUCCACCAUCUCUAAGAAGCCAGGGCUUUUCUUCGUCUCAUCGGCCCCCAUGAUGUCACAGUUAUAAAAGUAGAUGAUGAAAGAACCAACAAAAAAGAUGAUGAUAUCAUCUGUAUAAUAGAAAACCAAACAACUACAGAACCCAAACCUCAAACAACUGACGGGCAAGAAAUAGACGUAGAAGAUCAGAUUCAAUGGAGUUUGGUGGGGUCAAGUAAACAUUUUGAAGGAUAAAGUGGAUAACUCAGAAAAUUUCAUUAAAGAGGAAAAUGAAACUAUUUCGGAUGAAGAUGUAAUUAUCGUAGAAGAGAAGAAGAUAGAAUAUUUUGACAAAAGUGAGACUGAGGGUGAAAAUGAAUUCCACAUCGAGUAUUCGCAAUUCCUGAAUAAGUUUUACACUUUGAAUAAAGUAAAUAACAAGAAAAAGUCGAAACAGACAGAAACUAAGCGGAAAAAGUUGGAUUAUAAAGUCGGUCAGACGUCUAUACCAAAAGAAGCUGUAACGAAGCCGACGAAAUGUUCAUCAACCUCUAUAGAGUUGGACACAGCAUCAUUUUUAGGCACAAAACCACAAUCCACAACAAAGCCAACAUUCACAAAACCACAUUUCGGGAUAGCCACAAAUGCAUUAAAUACUCAAAAUGCAUCUACACAACAAUUCGUAAGAUAUUUACCGUCACAAAACGCAAGUACAGCACCAAUCGUAAUAGCACCACCAAAUGUAUCAACAUCACAAUGUCCGAUAGCCCCACAAUGCGCAAUAACACCACUUAACAUAUGAACACCAAAACUCGUGAUAGCACCACAAGACCCUACUAAGCAGCUACUAACAUUUAUAACCAAUGAACUUUCGCUUUGAAGGAAUAAAACGGGGUAGCGUUUUAUUAAAGGAGAGAAACACGCAAACAUAUAAUAAACAAUACUGUAGCGUUGGUGAGCAAAAAUCAAGAUCAAUUCCAACCGAUUAUUGUGAAAACCAAAAAUAUUAGUAUCUUGUUGUGUUCAGUGAAGUAAAAUCUAAUUUGUAUUAAAUUAAGUCAUACGUGUUGAAUAACGUAAUGUAGGAGACAGGAAAAUGAGCCGCACUUUUGAAGUGAAGUUGCACUUUUAUUUUGACCGUACCUUUAUCCAACUUAUCUGUGUCUUAUUUAUCUGAUCUUGCCAGAGGAGUGGCGACGAAUAGUCAAACGUGCCACAACACUUAAGUGAUGACCACCACCGCUCUGCCAAGAGUGAACCGACUGAGAAGAUUUAUCUUAAUUUUAAUUUUAUUUCUUCCUGCUGGGUGCAAGUAUAUAGGGAUUAGACCCACCAAAUUGCUCCACCACGCCUUGACGGGCAAAAAUUUCAUUUUUUCAAGUGUACUAACUUUUGAAACGUCAAGUAUGUCUGUUUGUAGUCACUCUAUCACCUGUACGAAAGGCAGAUUCUUGCGUGAAGAAAAGGGCAUGAAACUCAGCUGUUGCUUUCUUCUUCAUAAUUUUAAAAACUAGUCAAAAGACAAUCGUAUCGCAUUUUAAACCAUUACUUAUUAAUUAA